GGUUUGAUUCUGGCUCAGAUUGAACGCUGGCGGGAUGCUUUACACAUGCAAGUCGAACGGCAGCACGGACUUCGGUCUGGCGAGCAGAACGGGGUGAGUAGUGUAUCGGAACGUGCCUAGUAGCGGGGGAUAACUACGCGAAAGCGUAGCUAAUACCGUAUACGCCUUCGGGGAAAGCGGGGACCUUUCGCCCGCAAUUAGAGCGCUGAUAUCGGAUUAGCUAGUUGGUGGGUAACGGCUCACCAAGGGCGACGAUCCUAGCUGGUUUGAGAGGACGACCAGCCACACUGGGACUGAGACACGGCCCAGACUCCUACGGGAGGCAGCAGUGGGGAAUUUUGACAAUGGGGGAAAACUCCCUGAUCCAGCCAUCCCGCGUAGCGAUGAAGGCCUUCGGGUUGUAAAGCACUUUUGGCAGGAAAGAAACGGUACGGGACAUACUCCCGUGCAACUGACGGUACCUGCAGAAUAAGCACCGGCUAACUACGUGCCAGCAGCCGCGGUAAUACGUAGGGUGCAAGCGUUAAUCGGAAUUACUGGGCGUAAAGCGUGCGCAGGCGGUUCGGAAAGAAAGAUGUGGAAUCCCAGAGCUUAACUUUGAACUGCAUUUCUUUAACUACCGAGCUAGAGUGUGUCAGAGGGAGGUGGAAUUCGCGUGUAGCAGUGAAAUGCGUAGAUAUGCGGAGGAACACCGAUGGCGAAGGCAGCCUCCCUGGGAUAACACUGACGCUCAUGCACGAAAGCGUGGGGAGCAAACAGAUAGAUACCCCCGGUAGUCCACGCCCUAAACGAUGUCAACUAGCUGUUGGGGCCUUCGGGCCUGGUAGCGCAGCUAACGCGUGAAGUUGACCGCCUGGGGAGUACGGUCGCAAGAUUAAAACUCAAAGGAAUUGACGGGGACCCGCACAAGCAGUGGAUGAUGUGGAUUAAUUCGAUGCAACGCGAAAACCUUACCUACCCUUGACAUGUCUGGAACUCGAAGAGAUUUGGGAGUGCUCGCAAGAGAACCGGAACACAGGUGCUGCAUGGCUGUCGUCAGCUCGUGUCGAGAUGUUGGGUUAAGUCCCGCAACGAGCGCAACCCUUGUCAUUAGUUGCUACGAAAGGGCACUCUAUCGAGACUGCCGGUGACAAAUGGAGGAAGGUGGGGAGGACGUCAAGUCCUCAUGGCCCUUAUGGGUAGGGCUUUCUACACGUCAUACAAUGGUCGGGACAGAGGGUCGCUAACCCGCGAGGGGGAGCCAAUCCCAGAAACCCGAUCGUAGUCCGGAUCGUAGUCUGCAACUCGACUGCGUGAAGUCGGAAUCGCUAGUAAUCGCGGAUCAGCAUGUCGCGGUGAAUACGUUCCCUGGUCUUGUACACACCGCCCGUCACACCAUGGGAGUGGGUUUUACCAGAAGUAGUUAGCCUAACCGUAAGGAGGGCGACUACCACGGUAGGAUUCAUGACUGGGGUGAAGUCGUAACAAGGUAA
rnacentral:rRNA from 1 species